AUUGAACGCUGGCGGCAGGCCUAACACAUGCAAGUCGAACGAGUGGCGGACGGGUGAGUAAUGUCUGGGAAACUGCCUGAUGGAGGGGGAUAACUACUGGAAACGGUAGCUAAUACCGCAUACCAUCAGAUGUGCCCAGAUGGGAUUAGCUUGUUGGUGGGGUAACGGCUCACCAAGGCGACGAUCCCUAGCUGGUCUGAGAGGAUGACCAGCCACACUGGAACUGAGACACGGUCCAGACUCCGACGGAGGGAAGCAGAGGGGAAUAUUGCAAAGUGGGCGCAAGCGUGAUGCAGCCAUGCCGCGUGUAUGAAGAAGGCUUUCGGGUUGUAAAGUCCUUUCUGCGGGGAGGCGUUACCCGCAGAAGAAGCACCGGCUAACGCCGUGCCAGCAGCCGCGUAAUUC
rnacentral:rRNA from 1 species